rnacentral:rRNA from 1 species
AUUGAACGCUGGCGGCAGGCUUAACACAUGCAAGUCGAGCGGGGGAAGGUAGCUUGCUACCGGACCUAGCGGCGGACGGGUGAGUAAUGCUUAGGAAUCUGCCUAUUAGUGGGGGACAACAUCUCGAAAGGGAUGCUAAUACAGCAUACGUCCUACGGGAGAAAGCAGGGGAUCUUCGGACCUUGCGCUAAUAGAUGAGCCUAAGUCGGAUUAGCUAGUUGGUGGGGUAAAGGCCUACCAAGGCGACGAUCUGUAGCGGGUCUGAGAGGAUGAUCCGCCACACUGGGACUGAGGCACGGCCCAGACUCCUACGGGAGGCAGCAGUGGGGAAUAGUGGACAAUGGGGGUAACCCUGAUCCAGCCAUGCCGCGUGUGUGAAGAAGGCCUUAUGGUUGUAAAGCACUUUAAGCGAGGAGGAGGCUACUCUAGUUAAUACCUAGGGAUAGUGGACGUUACUCGCAGAAUAAGCACCGGCUAACUCUGUGCCAGCCGCCGCAGUAA